UCGAACGGCAGCAUGAUCUAGCUUGCUAGAUUGAUGGCGAGUGGCGAACGGGUGAGUAAUACAUCGGAACGUGCCCUGUAGUGGGGGAUAACUAGUCGAAAGAUUAGCUAAUACCGCAUACGACCUGAGGGUGAAAGUGGGGGACCGCAAGGCCUCAUGCUAUAGGAGCGGCCGAUGUCUGAUUAGCUAGUUGGUGAGGUAAAGGCUCACCAAGGCGACGAUCAGUAGCUGGUCUGAGAGGACGAUCAGCCACACUGGGACUGAGACACAGCCCAGACUCCUACGGGAGGCAGCAGUGGGGAAUUUUGGACAAUGGGGGCAACCCUGAUCCAGCAAUGCCGCGUGUGUGAAGAAGGCCUUCGGGUUGUAAAGCACUUUUGUCCGGAAAGAAAUCGCACUUACUAAUAUUAGGUGUGGAUGACGGUACCGGAAGAAUAAGGACCGGCUAACUACGUGCCAGCAGCCGCGGUAAUACGUAGGGUCCAAGCGUUAAUCAGAAUUACUGGGCGUAAAGCGUGCGCAGGCGGUUGUGCAAGACCGAUGUGAAAUCCCCGGGCUUAACCUGGGAAUUGCAUUGGUGACUGCACGGCUAGAGUGUGUCAGAGGGGGGUAGAAUUCCACGUGUAGCAGUGAAAUGCGUAGAGAUGUGGAGGAAUACCGAUGGCGAACGCAGCCCCCUGGGAUAACACUGACGCUCAUGCACGAAAGCGNGGGGAGCAAACAGGAUUAGAUACCNUGGUAGUCCACGCCCUAAACGAUGUCAACUAGUUGUGGGGAUUCAUUCCUUUAGUAACGUAGCUAACGCGUGAAGUUGACCGCCUGGGGAGUACGGUCGCAAGAUUAAAACUCAAAGGAAUUGACGGGGACCCGCACAAGCGGUGGAUGAUGUGGAUUAAUUCGAUGCAACGCGAAAAACCUUACCUACCCUUGACAUGCCACUAACGAAGCAGAGAUGCAUUAGGUGCUCGAAAGAGAAAGUGGACACAGGUGCUGCAUGGCUGUCGUCAGCUCGUGUCAUGAGAUGUUGGGUUAAGUCCCGCAACGAGCGCAACCCUUGUCUCUAGUUGCUACGAAAGGGCACUCUAGAGAGACUGCCGGUGACAAACCGGAGGAAGGUGGGGAUGACGUCAAGUCCUCAUGGCCCUUAUGGGUAGGGCUUCACACGUCAUACAAUGGUGCAUACAGAGGGUUGCCAAGCCGCGAGGUGGAGCUAAUCCCAGAAAAUGCAUCGUAGUCCGGAUCGUAGUCUGCAACUCGACUACGUGAAGCUGGAAUCGCUAGUAAUCGCGGAUCAGCAUGCCGCGGUGAAUACGUUCCCGGGUCUUGUACACACCGCCCGUCACACCAUGGGAGUGGGUUUUGCCAGAAGUAGUUAGCCUAACCGCAAGGGGGGCGAUUACCACGGCAGGGUUCAUGACUGGGGUGAAGUCGUAACAAGGUA
rnacentral:rRNA from 1 species